GCCAGCCCCAGAAACAAAGCCUAGAAACGCCUGUGUUUAAAAUGAGAAGGCCAAAGCUUCUGGGAAGGAUGAUCUAUUUUAUGAUGCCUCAAAGUUUCAGAAUGACUGUAGCCCCCCUCACCUCCUCUGGGCUGAACACCAUCAUCUAGCCUCUGACACUCGGGUCUGGAGACAGAGGGGGUUGAGGGGGAGGCAAUUGCAGCUGGCAGGAACCUUGCUUUUCAAGAACCUGGACCCCAGGACAACUCUGGUUGAGGCUCCCCAAGUCCCUCAAGCACCUCUCAAUUCGGAUCAGCCACAUUUCCUGUGCUAGACAGCUAGAGCUGUGUACCUGACCUGUGAAGAGAGAAGAGAAUCAAGGCUUUCAGGGGAGAAGACUUCCCCCUGGUGGACAAAAGUGGAAAGUACAUGGGAGACUGAAGCAACUGGCUGAGCCCCGACCGGACAGGGAAGGUCUCUCUUUGACAUCACCUCCUCUGGGAAGCCUUCAUUGCCUCUCCAUGGCUGGUGUGCCCAGAGCCUGUCCCUCACAUCACACUUAUCACACUGCAUCCUAACUACCCAUUUCCACAUCCGUGAACCUGUGAGCAUCUUGAGGACGCUUAUUGAGAUCUGACCCUGUACUACAGGCAUCACUUCCUGCAUUACAUUUACUGACAUCAUCCAGGUCGCCGGAGCCAGCAGCUGCUGAGCACUCACCGGACAUUGUUCUACCUGACUCAUCUGCUUUAUCCUAUCCUCAAAACAAGUCAGUGAGGUUGAUGCUAUAAUUAUCUGCAAUUCAUAUAGGGAAACUGAGGCACCAGACUUACAUGUCCACUGAGUCAUGGAGCCCGAGUUUGAAC
rnacentral:lncRNA from 1 species